GAGCGAUGGGCGCGGGGGGUGCCGGGAAGGUUUCUGAGGUACUAGCGGGCUUAGAGGAGGGCGGUUACUCUGCUGGAGUCCGAACUGCGCGCUCAGGCGGAGGCGGGAGCGGAGCCGAGCUAGAUGUGAAUUACUGCAAUGAGUAAACGUAAGUCAAAGGAGACAAGCUCUGUAAAUGAAGAAUGCAUCUCACAGGUACAAAGAAUUUUACGUGAAAGAUUUUGUCACCAGUGCCCUAAUGGAAAACUGUUUGGGGUUCAACUUCAGUACAAACAUCUACUGGAGCUGCUGAAACGAACUACUAUCCAUGGAGAAAGUAACUCUGCACUCAUCAUUGGACCCCGGGGAUCAGGAAAGACUAUGUUAUUAAAUCAUGUCUUAAAAGAGCUCAUGGAAGUAAAGCAAGUGAGAGAGAACCUCUUGCAAGUUCAUCUAAAUGGGCUCUUACAGACAAAUGAUAAAAUAGCACUCAAGGAGAUCACGAGACAACUACAAAUGGAAAAUGUGGUUGGAGACAAAGUUUUUGGUAGUUUUGCUGAAAACCUUGCAUUUCUUCUUGAAGCUUUAAAGAAAGGUGACCGAGAUAGCAGUUGUCCAGUGCUCUUUAUACUGGAUGAAUUUGACCUCUUUGUUCAUCACAAGAACCAGACAUUACUGUAUAAUCUUUUUGAUAUAUCCCAGUCAGCACAGACUCCGGUAACAGUUAUUGGACUUACAUGUAGACAAGAUAUUCUGGAACUCCUGGAAAAGAGAGUGAAGUCAAGGUUCUCCCACCGACAGAUAUAUUUGCUGAAUUCGUUUGAUUUUAAACAAUAUCUUAAAAUAUUUAAAGAACAGUUAUAUCUACCUGCAGAGUUUCUAUACAAGCCUUUCACACAGAAAUGGAAUAAGAAUGUUCAGUCUCUUUCAGAAGACAGAACAGUGCAAGAUGUGCUACGAAAUCAUUUCCACUGCAGCAAAGACCUGCGAUCACUUCACAUGCUAUUGAUGCUUGCUUUAAGUAGCAUAACAGUAUCUCACCCAUUUAUGACUGGAUCAGAUCUUCUUGAAGCAAGCAAAUUGUGCAGAAUGGACUCAAAAGCAAACAUUGUACAUGGUUUGUCUGUGCUGGAAAUCUGCCUAAUUAUAGCUAUGAAACAUUUAAAUGAUGUUUAUGAAGGAGAACCAUUUAAUUUUCAAAUGGUCUAUAAUGAAUUUCAGAAGUUCAUACAACGGAAAGCACAUUCCAUGUACAAUUUUGAGAAACCUGUUGUUAUGAAGACUUGGAUGAGACUCCAGCACUUCAACCCUCAGGUUUCUGGUCCCCUGGGUCACUUGCACAAAAAUACAGCAUGGCGGAUAAACUGUGCUGGUUCCCUUUGACCCCCCAAAUUCUCAAACUAACUUGGCCUUCAAGUGUGGCCACACCCCUUUGUGCCAGUGACAGACAGGUAUGGCUGUGCCUGAAAGUGCAAGUAGCCUGAAGAGCCAUAAUAACAGAUCUGUGGACUAUAGUGCUUGGUGAAAGGAAGCUUUCGUGCUUUUGAACACUUGCUACAACUAGAGUUAAUAAAACCAAUAGAAGGACUGUCUGUGCGUGCUCAGAGAGAAUACCUACUAAUGAAGCUACUUUUGGACAAUAAUCAAAUAAUGGAUGCUUUGCAGGUGUAUCCAAACUGCCCAACAGAUGUGAAACAGUGGGCAACAUCCUCAUUGAGUUGGCUGUGAACUUUCUGAAGCUUAUUAAAACCACAUUAAGGUGAAAUA